AUUUUAUGAAGUUAAUUGUAUAGCAAUAUCUCUGUUCAAAAACGCGGCCGAGUAGCCGCAAACACGGCCAUCAAAACACUACUAGAAGGUCAAGCAUUUCGAUUUAGGCCAAUUCGCUAUGAAAAAUCUGGCAAAUUAACAAUAGGCCGCUUAAUCACGUUAGGCACUAUUAAUCGGAUUAAAUACCGAUUAGCUUAAAU
rnacentral:lncRNA from 1 species